ensembl:lncRNA
CGUGUGGGGAGGGCGGUGUGAGCCCACUGAGUUUUGCUGGGGUACCACAGAAGCCCCAAAGCUGGGAGAGGGGUCGGCCUGUAGGGCUGUCAGCAAGGAAAGGUGAAACGGGGCUGGGAAUGAGCACCUUUAAAAGCAUAUAGAGACAUGAAGCACUUGAACAAAAUCCGUGGAUGGAGACGUGUGCUGGGCUCUGAGCUUGUGCAGGUUAUUUCGAAAGAAGGGAGGGCCCUUGAGAUAAUAGCAGGGAGCUUAGCAGUGUGUUUGUGCACACCUGUUUGCAUCCAGCCUGUGUACGUGCAGCCUGACUGAGGCAGUGUGGAGAUCAGUGCGUGCUAUGGACUGGGUUUCUGUUGGAAUAAGGGUGAGCCCCUCUCUGGAGAAGAUGGCAUCAGCCGUGAGCGUUGGUGCAGUUAGAGUGGAAUGGUCUUUGUGCCGGGGUGCUGGGGAGGGGCAGCUCACCUUUGCUGCCGUGCUUCUCCUCCCUUCACACAGCAUAACAGCAGCUGCUGGAGCAUGGGAUGAAAUCUUGGAGCUGAUCAACUGUACAACAGCAGUUCUUCUCCAACCCCUUUGGCCUCUAAAAUGUAGGAUUCCUCUUUCAACCUUCAUUCCGUUCAGCUGAAAUCGGUAGAGUUUUACUGCUGGAGUAAUAAUGCAGCAGCAGAUGAUGUAAUGAAUCACAAUGGAUGGCAAACCUGCACGUUUUAGACUAUACGUUUAAGUCAUCUGUGUCGUCAUCUGUCAUCAGCAUUGCAUAACCUGUUGACUGUCCCCUUUUUAUGUAAUUUAGAAACUUGUAAGACACCAUUUUGGUAGCUGGGUCCAUCCGAGUGCUACGUUUUCUCUUCUAGAAACAAUCUCCGUGACAUCUCUGGAUGUGCCCUUCCCAGGAAAGCCGAUUUUCUUGUGACAUAUCUCAGCUGUCAUUCUGGAUGGAUUUGUUCCACCCCAGUGGUUCUCAGGCUUUUUCAGCAGGAAAGUCCCUUUUCCCAUCUGGAGGCUGUCGCUCUCCCACCCACGUUCUGCCUGAGAAGAGCUGCAGUUCUGCUCCUGUGAUAGCUCCUCAGGGCUGUGGUUCUGCAGACCAGAACAGCGGCUCUGCACCUGGCUCUCGUCCAUCAGCCAUCCUUUUAAGGGGAGAAGCAAGCUGCUACCUGCUUCUGAUAGCAGUGGGAUAAAAGACAUCCAUUGUCUGCUAGCACUGAACCUUGGAACCAGGUGGAGCUUUGGUCUUUUCCCAUUUUUUUUAAAGAUUUUUGUUUGUUAACGUGACUUGCCAUACAGCAGGAAGCAUCAGUACCAAAAGACUUCAAUUUGUUUAUACUGAGAGGGAAAAGAAUCCCUCCCAGCAGAGUUCCAAGCACGCCGUUGUUGUUCCAAAGUCCAGCAGUGCCACAUAUGAAUCAGACACUGUUUUAGUUACUGCUCAUUCAAACUGUCUCUGAGUAGCGCAGAGCAGCUCCACUUGAACUUUAGUCCAGGCCUUCUUGAUUAAACAUUUUUAUAAAUCAAGUAGCCUAAUUGCAAAGCCUUGGUAAGUGCAAGUCUCAGAGGUACCAGAAUGUAACGAUGACAAACUCGGUUUUAGGUCAGGUCAGGCAGUUUCUGAAUGUGAGCUUAGAAAUGUUGGGCAAAGCUGAAUAAGUAAAACAAGCUGGUGAAGAUUCUGGUGAAGCCUACUGGCUUGAUGGGAAAUGUGACCAGCUCGGCCCUGCUGUGUUAUUUUUCUUCACAUCUAGAGGUACCAUCCCAGCACACCACCUCCAGCAAAUUCUCCUCUGCUUCAGCUGCCUGCAAGGUUUCAUGAGUGUGAAGAGAAUUCGACAUUCAUUGAUUACAGAUAUGCUCAGCUCAACGGCGGCAAUAUUUUCACUUUCUAGCAUAAAAUGGGAUCGAUGUGUUCCACUCUAGCUAUUCCCAACAGAGUGCUGUCAUUACCUUCUUGCAUCCGUUGCCAGGUGAGGGGGUCCUUUUCCACUUGGAGCAAACAUACGCAGUAACAGUGAUGGCAACAACACGUGCCUCUUACUGAGAAAAGAAGCCCCCAUGUGCACUAUGUGAUCAUUUUUUCCUUCUACAUACAAUGUUUCUGCCUCUGUAUGUUACAUUGCUCAUGCUAAAACCGUGUGCGUGUGGCGAGGAGGAAUUUGGGUGCUGCGGAACGUUUUUGAGCUGAAACAAACCCUGGGUUUUUGGCAGUAUCGUGAUUCUCAAAGGGAAACAGUGACUUUAAUCGAUGUCUGAUUGAGGACAGAACUACGCAACAGGAACUGAGUGUUCCAGUGUGGUGUAAUGUCAGAGUUACUGCUGUCGGUUGUGUGCAGGCAGAUGAUAAACUCUGCACUGGGUGACUUGGUAUCUAACUUGCUCUUCAUAACAUGUCUCAAGAGGGCCAUGGAGGUAUGUGUGGAUGAAUAUACUCUAAUGCAAGGUCAUGCGAUUGUAUUGUGCUAAUAUUACGUUUUCUGGGACCAAACCCUGCUGGAGCCACAGGUGGGACCUUCUUUGACUCCAGCUUUGGCUCAGACACAUGCUUUUCUUCAGAUGGUGGGUGAAAUUCUGGUUCUCAUCUCCAUUUCCCCAUUGACUUCAAGAGGAUCAGGGCUGCACUUAGUCUCUUGUUUAAAGCUACAUGGGGAUGUUCAUCUGAUCAUGGGAAAAGCCUCAUUCAACUGCAGCAGAAAUUAGGUAAACAAGAGGUAUGACUUCAGGGUGUGACCUGGAGGUGGGCAUGGUAGGGGGCCUCUUUCUGCCUAGAUCCCUCGAGCAACCUCCAAACACAGAGAUGUGUUGGCACUGUAAAUUCCAACUUCUGAGCUAAAAUAGCCCCUCCGUGGUACCUCUGGCAGUGGCUGGUGGGUACAUUGCUCCUGACUCAGGCAAAAACACUUUGCUGUUAAGUCAAGUGCUUGUGUGGGGCUUGGGAGGGAUGGAAAAGGCAGGUGGUUAUCAGUGGCCCCACAGCUGCUGUUAGAUUUCUCCCCAUGGUGAGCCAGAGAGCUCGCUAUUGACCGACCUCCAUUUUAAUUAACUCCAGAAGCUGGCAGAGUACACUGAAUAAUUCAAGAGAGACAUGUUUAAACAUUUGCACAAGCCUCAGAUUCCUCCUGGCUAAAAAUAAGCCUGUGAGAAAGAAAACGAUUCUCAUUCGAGGUGCCAGCAGAUGGACAGCAGAGGCACAGACCCCGUCCCAACACCAUCGUGUUGCUGCUCCCAGGAGGACAUCAGCCGUGGGUCUUAUCCCCACUGCUGGGAUCUGCAUGGGGGUGGUGCAAAGCAAAGAGAUGAACUCACAGAUGCCCUUUGAGGUCAGCAUUUUGGAGCACACGAGCAUAAGUGGUUCUUCCACAGGGAAGCGGAGCAGAGGGGUCUGUGCCUUUCCCACUAUAGCUGGGCACCAAUGGGCAGGGCUAACAUGCAAGGCUCCAUGCUGAUGUUCUGCUGAGUGUCUGAGACUGCCUGCCAGUUUAGUGCGUUAUAUAUAUAAGAUACAUUGGCUUCGUAUCCCCAGGGUGACAAAAAAUGUAAUGAGUUCUUUUUCCAUUGUGUGCAGAACAACAGCUUCUCAGGGCAGCGUGUGAUACUGCCCCCCCAGCAGCCAAAGCCUCGCUGCGUUCUGGGGUUAAAUGCAGUGCUCCAGGGGACUCUGGAAAUUAAAGCCCCCAGAGGUUAUUGCUAAUGAAACCUAAUUAAAUUUGGAUGUAAAUGUAACGUGCUGCUGCUGUUGCAUUUGCAUCUAGCUUCUGAUGGUUUACAUAUGUAUGUAUGUGAAUUAUAUAAGUACGUAUACUUGUAAGCAUGCAAACAAGCAUCUAUGCAUGAUCAAGUGCUUCUCACUCUGGUGGUGUGGCUGCAGCGUGCCAGCACCAAACUCAUAGAAUCAUAGGAUGGCCUGGGUUGAAANAUUUGAAAUGUUUUAAUACAAAAUCACAUCCUUCCGUAGGAUGGUAUGCUGUGGUGAGUGCAGGCUGGAGGGCUGGAGCAUUUAGCCUGCUUUCCCAAGGGAACAGGUUUCUGAAACUGCUGUCUGUCUGUCAGUCUGUCUGUCUGUCCUCACUGACAGCUUUUCAACUCGACAGUCACUUCCAGUCAGCUUAGCAGCAAGGCAGAGGUGUUGAAGUAGUAAAUUCCUAAAGAUUUUUGAGAAGUUGAUAGCUGGAAAGAGCAGAGAGAUGGAAAUCGGUGCUGCUCCACUGUGGAAGAUGGGCAGCCCUGUUGUUACGUUUGGGGGUGGGCUGGAAAUUAUUAACAUAAUUUUGGAUUAAUUUCUAGAAGCACGUCGAUUUCACCCCAAUUAGGACAUCACAGAACAACCAAUAGAAAUCAGCAGACAACACUGCCCUGAAACUAAGGGGAAAAAGUGAAAAGCUCACAUUGCAGGCAGGGCUAAAAGACUAAAGGCACAAUUUCUACAAGGGUCCAAGUGCCAAAGGAGCCCGGUUCCAUGUGUUAAAUGCAGGUGUGUGAGCACACAAGAACUAAAUUCUCACUGAAGGACGUGGCUCUUGGGAGCCUGGGUCAUCCCUGGGCGUGGGCUCAGGCUUUGGGUGCUCAUUUAGACAGUGGCAGAGGUAAAGCUGCUGUCUGAGCUGUGGCCACUGAAAGCAGCCCCGGAUUAAGCCCCUUAUGCAAUCCUUCCGUCACAGCCACCUCCUCAGCUUUGGUUUGAUUUGUAGCUCUGAGCUGGAUUUAAGGACGUUUACAGCAUCAACAACUGUGCUAGGAAACGAGUCCUGAAAGUGAAGCAUAACUAAUACAGAUCUGGUAUGUUAUUGAGCAUGGAAACCCACCACGGGAAACUGACCAUGCAAGGCAAAGCCAUGCAGAGGACUAACAAGAGUGGAAACAAACCAGUGGGAGUGCAGCCCCAGUGGGCAGAGCAGGAGAGCAAGGAAAGGUUGGGGCUUUCUGAGGGCCACGGCACGGCUGCACAAGCUGCCAAUUGCAGUCACAGAUUUGAUCUCUCUCCCUCCAACCUCAGCAAAAUGGGUGAGACUGAUACUUCGUGCAGGGCGCUGGUAACGCAGAGCCGGUGAUGCCCCAUGGCAGGGGAAGACGAACACCCUGCAAUACAAUCCAAACCGUGCUUCACAGGCUCCCUGGCAGCUCUGAAAGCAGGGGUGGGGAAUGGCCGGCUUGUUUCCUCUGUGAGAGAGGAAAACAAUGAACGAUUAUCUAUCUAUAGUGUGUAAACUACAACCACACGGAUGCACGUUUGUGCCGUCACGUGCAAUCAGCCCCCCCACCUGGCUGCGGGGUGGGAGAUUAGCAAGGAGAUAAGGCUGGAGGAUCAAGACAGCCCAAGUGUGAGGCAGGCAGGCUGGGAGCAAUGUGUGUUGGUGUAUGAACAGCCCAUAGCAGCCGGCCAUUGCACACCCACGUGCUGCGGGUGCAUGAGAAGACUGACAAAAAGAUGCUAUCAGCGUGCUCUGAUUAAACUGACGUGAAUUACAUGAAAUUGGCAUUGUGUUGGAAGCUGUCACACUUACCAGGGCGUG